rnacentral:sRNA from 1 species
GCAAAUCUCUAUCGUCUCUUACGGUAAAGAGAAACCCGCUGUACUGGGUCACGACGAAGCCGCCUAUGCUAAAAACCGUCGCGCAGUACUGGCAUACUAAGAGUAGUUCAUGAACAGUAACUUCAGACAUCAUUUUUUG